UGAGACAUGCCGUGAGGAGACAGGUGUGCUGCAGACUCGUGUGUUAAUGCUGCUGCAUUAUUUCCUGUGUAUUUCAUACAGGGCCCCCUUGGCGAGCCAGCAGUUAAGAAAAACAGGAACAAAUAUGGUUCUUAAUGGAGGCCAGAAGAUCUGAAAAGGAAUAAGAAGAGUCAAGACUAUUGACAGAUCAAUCACAGGUCCUUUUCAUCCUGCCAUUGCUCACAACAGAUUGAUUUUCCAACAAAUUUGAUCUAUUAAAUAAGAAGUGUUGAAUUAUAUCGUGGAGGUGAUGACUUACUGUGAUGACAAAUGGCACCGUAUUGAUCAUCUCCAAUAUGAAGGAUAUCUGGAAUAUUUGCUCCCAGAUGUUGCCCUGGAGAGCACAUUGGUGGACAGAGAUGAAAUGGCAGUUCAAAAAAGUCCCUCAUUUUGAAACCCUUUCAGAAACACAGUGGAUUGAAAAGAUUAUAUUUUUCCUUAAAUUUAAAAUGUCUCAGAAAUCUUCCAAUAGUGUUUGAAGUGUGCUGCCCAAAAUGUAGUUUAAGUGCUUUCAGGAGCACAACUUUUUGUGUCUUCUGCUGUGUGUGUAAGAAGCGGUACUAUCUACCACAUAAACACUCUAACUCUGUACUUGUCCCACAUAUUGGCCCACUUUUUGGUUUGCGAAUCAAUAGAUCGCACCAAAUAUGCCUCUGUGUGUGAACUAAGCCAACUAAGCAGCCGGGAGAGAAGGAGGGAAUCGCUGUGGACUUAUACUUGCAGAGGAGAGGGAACUCACACACACUUCCCCUCCCUGUUGCCCUUCUUCCCCACCUCGUGACGGCGCGUCGCCUGCCGUUUGCCAACAGCGAGGUGAAAUUAUUUUACUUUUACAUUUUUUUUUUAUUGUAGCAACAUGGUUGUUAACGUUUUUGAGAGCACCAAAAGGACUUCUGUAUCCAGCUUGCCAUUGUUGUGUUGUUUUGAUUUUUGCUCCAUUACCCCCUUGUUAUGUUUGAUGUA